GGUUGAGCAUGGCCAGGGAGUAAGCGAGAGCGAGAGACAGGAAUAGACUUGCCGGGUUACAACACCGACUCUGUGUUUUACAAUCAACAGCACCCACCAGGGUAGCCCAUCAGUCAAGUCCAGAGUUAGCUUGGGGCCCAGGUCUGAAUCCCUGGCCCUAGUCGAGGUGAGAGCCAAGGAGGGUAGCUCCUCCUUCACACUCAAAACCAUGUGCACCACCAUGAUGGUCCUCUGCACCAUCGCCCUCGUUCUGCGUCAGAAAUUCUCCAACAAGAUCAAGCCAGAAAAAGACCAGGCCAAGGAGACCGAGGGCUGCUCUGACGAUAACAAGGAUGGCCAGAAAUGAAAACAUAUUGGAGGAGAAGCAUGGAGCGUCGCAAGAGUUCAAAGGAAGGACCGUAUAUAAUCAAACAAAGGAAUGUCAUCUUACUCCCAUCUCCAUCUGAGAUGGUCCAGAGGGAGACUAAGGAAGGUCCUCAUGCGAACCCUCAUGAGGUUAUAGUUCUUUAUCAUACAACCGAACUGACAUUGUGUCCCCAGACCAAGUUUAGUCCAACACCACCAACUCACCAACCAAAGACAUCCAGUGCAAAUAUAACAACUGCUUGCUACAAGGAUACUCUUAUUUCCCUUCACUACCAUUCAUGUGGAAAUAUGCCUGGUUCUACCAUCCUGGGUGGAGAGGAUCCCAGACUGGCAUGUGGAUCAUAAAACACGUCUCGAAGCAGCUGAGCCGAAUAAACGCGAGCCCCCCCCCCCCCCAAGGGUGUAACGAGGGAUACGCUAGCGGUAGUCAGUUGGCAUGCUUAAAUUGUUUUUAUUUUGUAUUUGUUGGAUUUCACAACGUGUCAUGUUUAUAAGCAAUGUGUACAGGAUUUGAUAUAAACUCUGUUUGUUCCAUAUUGUGCCAAAGUUGUUAAGGUUGUUUUGCCCUACCUUCUUCCUGUGAAGAAAAAGCAUUAGGCCGAUGUGUACAUUGUUAUAGCAGGUCCUACCCUACACUUCCUAUCCUACCCUUCCGUUGUUGGACUCUAACAAAUGAUGAUGAUUUGUGAUAAUGUGCACACCUUCCAUUAUUAAGUUAUUAAUUCCAUCCGAUAAGGUCGUAGGUGUGUUCAAGUUGUGAGCUUAUAUGUAAUCCACACAAGCAUGAAUCAUGUUCGUCAUCGUGUUCUCAUUGAUUCGUUGUACACAGUGGCAAUGAACUUGACUAAGCAUUUGACAACUUGGUUCAUCUAAAGGUAAUUAAGGCUGUACUUAGGCCACACUUCACAAUCCAGGCUGUAACUAGGCCACACUAAUAUUGACAGAGAGUGUGGACCCAAAGUGGCCAGAGAUUAUAUUCACCAGUGGAAUUUGACCAUUUUUUGAUCCAUUUAUCUUGUACUAAGCGCAAGGGAUAGAGAAGGAGGGUCUUUCGAUAGAGACAGGCCCUGUCCUUUUCCGUUGCAAGUUUUGGAUAUUGCUUAGACAAAUUGUUGGUCAAAAACUCUGUCUUUGGUACUUUUCUCCAUCGUCAUGUUCUAAUUAUUCUUACUCAGGGCACUGUUAACUUGCGUGCACUGCUCUUUGUUUCGGUAGACCUGGGUAGCACUACAAUUCAUGACCCUCUCUGAACCCACUAGCAAUUGCAGGUGAAACCCAUUAACCAAAGUGAUUCUGGAGACAAUGGCGCCAUCUAAUGGAAACUAAGGUUCAGGAACAGAAACUUAGAAUUUAAAAUAUUUUAUUUGACAUUAAUAAAUAAGAAAAAAUAAAUAAAACAUCCGUAAUGGAAUAAAUAAAUCGGAUUUAAAUAAGUAUAAUAUAACAUAUAGUAUAAUGACACUUGCUUUCACACACAUACAAUCACAAACUCACAUUCAUAAACAUAUAAAUAAUAUAAUUAUAAAAAUAAUAAUUAUUAAUAUUUUGUCAUGCUAUUUGGAGUGUGGUCCCCCUCUUUUGUCCAGAUAGGCUUUGAGUUGCUUGAAAGCAUAUUGGAACUCGGAACGUAUCAAUUCCCAAGAACAUUCCUGCAAGACAGAAGAGCAAGUUCUGGUCAGUGAAGAGAGGUGGAGAGAUAGAUAGGAUUGAACAUAAAGCACACUACUGAAUGUCAAACAGAAAGACAGAGAGGAAAAAAAAAUCAAAAAUCCAUGAAGAGAAACAGACAGACAUACAGAUAGACAGAGAUAGGCAGAGCACAGUUAUUCAAAAGUAUAAUAUAAUAUAUGAACCUCCUGAGUGUGUAAGGCAGUCAGCUGAUCAGAAAAGGAGGCCAAGGCCGGUACUGUGGUUACUGUGUCCGUCACACCAUCCUGGUUCACCUGCAAAAUCCCAUUCAUCAGGAAUCAAACACACAACCUACUGAUCCAUUUGAUUAAGAAAGACCCAGACCCUCAACUUACUGAUAUAUUGGAUUCACACACACAGCCUACUGAACCAUUGGAUUAAGACACAUACUCAACUUCUAAUGAUCUAUUGGAUACAAACCCACAACCUACUGACCCAUGACUCAAACUUGAAACCUAAUGCUAUUUUAGAUUCAAACACAACACCUACUGAUCUGUUCAUCAGGCAAAAUAGUGCCAAUCGAUUGUCAGGAAUUAUACUCCAAACUCCACUGAGCAAUUUUUAAUGCCCACAAGCUACUUAAAAUCAUGGGGAUUCAAACCUAAAAACUAAAUAGCAAUUCAGAACAUCUAGCCAUAUUGAAUCUAUGCCCCAUCUGUUGGUUAUAUAUUUAGCUGUCAGACACAGAGAAGGGACUGGAACCUACACAUUGCUGUAGCUGGGUGGUUUGGCGGAAAACGUGGUUCCUCAAGAGCUGCACUUUCUCCGGAUUCCAUGACAAGGAGCUCAUAUUGCCCCCAAACACAUUGAUGAACAGCUGCCCUGUUUGCAGGACAAGCAGUGGGAUUGAGUCCUCCUGUAAAAGAAGAAGAGAAGAUAGGUGUUGAGAGGAGAGGUGAAUAGAGGAUACAUCAAACUGCAGAGGAGAUGAGAUGAGGAGAGAAGAGAUGAGGGGAGAUCACAGAUGAAGUGAGUGUGUGUGUAGACGUCGGAUUAGAGAGGGGCCAGCUAGGUUGACAGAGUUUACCUCAGCAUCAGUGAAGAUGUUUUCUGGGAAAAAAUGGACAGUCUGUUUUUCCAUACACUGCACAGGUAAAUAUCCUCCCUGAGAGCAAGACACAGGGAGAGAGAGACACAGAACAAACACAGAGAGAGAGAGAGAGAGAGAGAGAGAGAGAGAGAAAAUUAACUUGAUUAGAGGAGUGUCAGUGGUGCAUCUGCAUGCAUGCAUGUGCAGUCUCUCUCUCUGUCUCACCAUGUUUUCCAGAAGGAGGAUGAUCUUGUUGUUGAUGCGGCCAAGGUGAAACUGGUUCCAGGGACAAUCCGAGGAGGACUGGACAACGCCUGUCCAGCACAGAACAACCAAAGACACGAAGACAGGCCACAUUCUGACUGCUACAAGAACUACACAAAAUAACUAACCACUUGAGAACCUGUAGUCAACUAAAGCACCGCAAUUUAUCUGGCUAACAAAGUCAAUCACAAAAUAACUUUAUGGAUGUUAUUCUCUGUUGUACUAUCUUCUAUUCUAUCUCUCUAUUGUCUGAAGUUUGUUUGAAGAUGUCUGUCACUUAUAAAGACACUUUCAGAAAUU